UACGUAGGGUGCGAGCGUUAAUCGGAAUUACUGGGCGUAAAGCGUGCGUAGGUGGUUCGUUGUGUCUGUGGUGAAAGCCCCGGGCUUAACCUGGGAAUGGCCAUGGAAACUGGCGAGCUGGAGUGUGGCAGAGGGGGGUGGAAUUCCGCGUGUAGCAGUGAAAUGCGUAGAGAUGCGGAGGAACACCGAUGGCGAAGGCAGCCCCCUGGGCUAACACUGACGCUGAGGCACGAAAGCGUAGGGAGCAAACAGG
rnacentral:rRNA from 1 species